UUUCACAACAACACAAACUGGCUGGAAACAGCAGUAUUAGACUGAAUCCUUUGGAAGAGCAGUCAGCUACUCCAUAGCUCAUUUCAAGUUGGGACGGACUACACCAAGACAAGAACUCACUUUGGCAGAGCUCCUGUUUCACUAGAAGAAUUUCUGAAAUCAGUCCCAGAAUUGGUGCAGGCAGAGUUUGCCCGAAUUUUCAGUUCCUGUAUGCUGCUAAUAUGUAGAAGGCGCACUCUGAUAAAAACCCGAAAUAUCCACACCCGACAACCCUAUUUAGAUCCUGCAGUCUGCCCUGGACCUUUGCCUAGGAAUGAUGGGUGAGAUCCAGGAAGCAAUCAGCCAAACAAGCCAGGCCAUUAGAGGGAUGCUUGGCACAUUACAAGAAAGCAAUGAAGAGAAGGGUAGAUGGGUAAGCACCCAGAAGUGGUUAAAGAAGAUGCACAAGUCAUUCAUACGUCUUAUAUCAUCAUUUGCUUGCGAUG